UAAUCCUGUGCUGAUUGCUUCUUGCAAGUCAUAUGAGAAGAUUAGGAUGGCCCCUGCGCAAGGAUGACACGCAAAUUCGCGAAGCGUUCCAUAUUUUA
ensembl:snRNA U6 U6 spliceosomal RNA